UGAUGCUUCUUGCAUAUGCCACUUCAAUGUAUUUUUUUUUUUUUUUAGGGUCCUCAAGGUAUUAGAGGAAUAACUGGCCUCCCUGGGCCUAAAGGAGAAGCUGGCUUACCAGGGGUUGAUGGCCGGGAAGGGAUCCCUGGAAUGCCUGGAGCAAAGGGUGAACCAGGAAAACCUGGUGCUCCAGGUGAUGCAGGACUUCAAGGACUGCCAGUAGGUAUCUGAUACUUCAAAUGUGAAAGCCAUAUUCAGUUCAAACACAAAGAAG
rnacentral:lncRNA from 1 species